UGUGUGUUUCCCUCCACUUCCCUGAUUGCACUCAUUAGUUUCACCUGUGUGGUGUCACACCUGUGUUGAUUACCCUGUAUAAUUAGUUCCACUGUUUCCCCUUCCCUGUGUUAGUUCACUGUAUGUCUUAAUGUUUUUUUUUUACAUUUUUCUUCCCAUGUUACUCAGCAUACUGUGAUUCUGGUAUUUUGUGCUGUUGGACUUUUGUCAUUGGAAACUACAAUUACUCACCAGAGAAACCUCAGAGAGUCACCGCGUCUGUCUCUACGCUGAGAGGGUACUUCCAUGUGCUGACAAAGGCAGUGGGAAUGAGGCUGACAUCAAUCACGGACAGACACGGGGCAGAUGUUUGCAGUGUUCCAGCAGACACAAAUAAAGUCUGAACAGCUGGAAGAAGAAGAGACUUCUGAAAGGACGAUAAGGACAAAAGCAACCCAUGGGGAUACAAUCUGUGUCCUGAGACAUGCAGGAGCAAAAUGCUUCUGCGUCAAGGCUCUUACACUCCAGGAGGUUUCUGUCUCAGCGUUUCCCAACUGGAGAUGACAGUCAGAAAAGAUAGAAGCUCAAGGUUGUUGCAGUAGUUGUACUUUGACUGCACGUUUUUCUUGGAGAGAAAGGGGGGGAAGAGGGGCAGGCAGGAAGCCCUUGGGACAACAUGGACAAUAAAUCCACCAUAUUACCCCUGUAUCCCUUCAUCCUGACCCCCAAUAUCCACUGUUAUCCAGACCAAAUGUGAAGAAGACUUCCUCUCUUGUGUUUGGGGUCAGGGUACUGCCUUGAUAGACAAAAUACUAACCUGUAUCAAAUGACUGGCCCUUAUUAAAACUUUGCCCAGAUGCA